CUCAACUUCAAGGAGGGGCUGCAAAGAGGAAUCUCAUUGUCCCAUCAGAACUUGGCUCAGUCUGCAGUGAUGAUGGAGAAGGAACUGCAUCAGCUGAAGAGAGCCAGUUAUGCCAGUACAGAUCAGCCAUCCUGGAUGGAACUUGCCAGAAAGAAAUCUCAAGCUUGGAGUGACAUGCCCCAGAUUAUAAAAUAGGUGGGCAGUGUGCUGAUAAAGCAUGUCCACUACCCUGACAAGCCACUUAGUUAAAAACUGCCAGUGUAUUGUGGCAAACAAACUGUGAAACUUAAAGAUUGAUUUUAUCAUCAAGUUAUGACGAACUUGGGGAAGAGGAAGGAACCAGGCAAAACAAAGAGGAUAAACACACAGCCAUACUCCUGGGCCAGAGGGCCCAGAAACAAGAACAACAUUGAAAAAGUCCAGGAACCAGUUCCUGUGCCCAAAGGUACGAAUGUGUCUUUUCGAAUUCCCUUGAUAAAGAAGCCUCAGACAAGGAAGAAAAUAGAAAUGAAAUUGGACACAUAAAUAGGACACCCAGCAAAGGCCAGAAGAGAAGCCCUUCUAGGAGAAGGGACAUCUGUGCUUCCAGCUGAGAUCAGCCCAUGUCUCUGGUCGCUCUCUUGCCUGUGGAUCCUGUCUUCUUUCAUGUUUACUACGAGGCAUGACAUUCAUGGCAAAACAGGGAUGCCGUUUCCAAGAGCAGCUAUAAAACAAUCUGUUUUCCUAAAGACAGCCACUCUGAGAAGGAGAUGAAGGAACACGGCAGGGUUCAUCAAUUCAUAGACUGUUUCCAAAAAUAAUUUUUAAACUUUUCCACUAGGCAUCUGUGUCUUUAACCACUGCACAAUGCAUUGCCUGUUUAAUAAAAGGUUUCAAACA
rnacentral:lncRNA from 1 species